rnacentral:rRNA from 1 species
AUUGAACGCUAGCGGGAUGCUUUACACAUGCAAGUCGAACGAGUGGCGGACGGGUGAGUAAUAUCUGGGAAAGUGCAUGAUAGAGGGGGAUAACUACUGGAAAGGGUGGCUAAUACCGAAUACUAUUAGAGCUGCCGAGAUGGGAUUAGCUAGUAGGUGGGGUAACGGCUCACCCAGGCGACGAGCCGUAGCUGGUCUGAGAGGAGGACCAGCCACACUGGAACUGAGACACGGCCCAGACUCCUACGGGAGGCAGCAGUGGGGAAUAUUGCACAAUGGGCGCAAGCCUGAUGCAGCCAUGCCGCGUGUAUGAAGAAGGCCUUCGGGUUGUAAAGCACUUUCAGCGAGGAGGCGUUACUCGCAGAAGAAGCACCGGCUAACGCCGUGCCAGCAGCCGCGGUAAUUC